rnacentral:rRNA from 1 species
UACGUAGGGUGCAGGCGUUAAUCGGAAUUACUGGGCGUAAAGCGUGCGUAGGCGGGUUGUUAAGACAGGUGUGAAAUCCCCGGGCUUAACCUGGGAACUGCGCUUGUUACUGGCAGACUGGAGUGUGGCAGAGGGGGGUGGAAUUCCAGGUGUAGCAGUGAAAUGCGUAGAUAUCUGGAGGAACACCGAUGGCGAAGGCAGCCCCCUGGGCUAACACUGACGCUGAUGCACGAAAGCGUGGGGAGCAAACAGG